rnacentral:rRNA from 1 species
ACCCGCUGAACUUAAGCAUAUCAAUAAGCGGAGGAAAAGAAACCAACAGGGAUUGCCUUAGUAACGGCGAGUGAAGCGGCAACAGCUCAAAUUUGAAAUCUGGCGUCUUUGGCGUCCGAGUUGUAAUUUGCAGAGGGCGCUUUGGCAUUGGCAGCGGUCCAAGUUCCUUGGAACAGGACGUCACAGAGGGUGAGAAUCCCGUACGUGGUCGCUAGCCUUUACCGUGUAAAGCCCCUUCGACGAGUCGAGUUGUUUGGGAAUGCAGCUCUAAAUGGGAGGUAAAUUUCUUCUAAAGCUAAAUACUGGCCAGAGACCGAUAGCGCACAAGUAGAGUGAUCGAAAGAUGAAAAGCACUUUGGAAAGAGAGUUAAAAAGCACGUGAAAUUGUUGAAAGGGAAGCGCUUGCAGCCAGACUUGCCUGUAGUUGCUCAUCCGGGUUUUUACCCGGUGCACUCUUCUGCGGGCAGGCCAGCAUCAGUUUGGGCGGUUGGAUAAAGGUCUCUGUCAUGUACCUCUCUUCGGGGAGAACUUAUAGGGGAGACGACAUGCAACCAGCCUGGACUGAGGUCCGCGCAUCUGCUAGGAUGCUGGCGUAAUGGCUGU